AGAGUUUGAUCCUGGCUCAGGAUUAACGCUGGCGGCAUGCCUAAGACAUGCAAGUCGAACGGAACACCCCACUGAAAUCUGAAUGAAGUCUGAGAGCUUGCUCAAAGAUGGAAUGACGGUGGACGUGGAUUCUGUGUUCAGUGGCGAACGGGUGAGUAACACGUGGGUUACCUGCCUCUAAGUUGGGGACAACAGUUGGAAACGACUGCUAAUACCGAAUGUGAUAGUAAUAUUAAAGGAGCCUUUAAAGCUUCGCUUAGAGAUGGGCCUGCGGCGUAUUAGCUAGUUGGUGGGGUAAUGGCCUACCAAGGCGACGAUGCGUAGCCGGACUGAGAGGUUGAUCGGCCACACUGGGACUGAGACACGGCCCAGACUCCUACGGGAGACAGCAGUUAGGAAUAUUCGGCAAUGGGGGAAACCCUGACCGAGCAAUGCCGCGUGUGAGAUGAAGGUCCUUCGGAUUGUAAAUCACUUUUAUUUGGGAAGAACUGUAAGCAGAGGAAAUGAUGCUUACUUGACGGUACCUUUUGAAUAAGCCCCGGCUAACUACGUGCCAGCAGCCGCGGUAAUACGUAGGGGGCGAGCGUUAUCCGGAUUUAUUGGGCGUAAAGCGUGCGUAGGCGGUUUAUUAAGUCUAGAAUUAAAGCCCGAGGCUUAACCUCGGUUCGUUCUAGAUACUGGUUGACUAGAGUACAGUAGAGGCAAAUGGAAUUCCUAGUGUAGCGGUGGAAUGCGUAGAUAUUAGGAGGAACACCAGUGGCGAAGGCGAUUUGCUGGGCUGUAACUGACGCUGAGGUACGAAAGCGUGGGUAGCAAAUAGGAUUAGAUACCCUAGUAGUCCACGCUGUAAACGAUGAGCACUAAGUGUCGGGUUACCGGUGCUGAAGUUAACACAUUAAGUGCUCCGCCUGAGUAGUACGGUCGCAAGACUGAAACUCAAAGGAAUUGACGGGCACCCGCACAAGCGGUGGAGCAUGUUGUUUAAUUCGAAAAUACGCGAAGAACCUUACCUAGGCUUGACAUCCCUGGCAAAGCUAUAGAAAUAUAGUGGAGGUUAUCCAGGUGACAGGUGGUGCAUGGUUGUCGUCAGCUCGUGUCGUGAGAUGUUCAGUUAAGUCUGCUAACGAGCGCAACCCUUGUCGAUAGUUGCUAACAUUUAGUUGAGAACUCUAUCGAGACUGCCGGUAU
rnacentral:rRNA from 1 species